AAUUUCAACAUCUCAUAAAUACUAUUAAUCUCAAUUCGUACUAAUUAAUUUUAUAUUAAUAAAUAUCAACCUUAUAUAAUUUACAAAACUCGAUCAUCUAAUUGUUAUUGAUGGUGCUCUAUCUAAUCAAUCACCAUUUGAAUCUUUGCCAAGUACAAGCAUCUUAUAACUCUGAAAAAGAAAAAAAGGAGGAAAAAGAAUGGUGAGCUUUACAGCCCAGU
rnacentral:lncRNA from 1 species